rnacentral:rRNA from 1 species
UACGUAGGGCGCAAGCGUUAUCCGGAAUUAUUUGGGCGUAAAGAGCUCGUAGGCGGUUUUGUCGCGUCUGCCGUGAAAGUCCGGGGCUCAACUCCGGAUCUGCGGUGGGUACGGGCAGACUAGAGUGAUGUAGGGGGAGACUGGAAUUCCUGGUGUAGCGGUGAAAUGCGCAGAUAUCAGGAGGAACACCGAUGGCGAAGGCAGGUCUCUGGGCAUUAACUGACGCUGAGGAGCGAAAAGCAUGGGGGAGC